UCUAAUGAAGCUGUGCUAUUGAUGUCUUAUUAAUCUACAAACUGUUUGAUGAAAUGCUUGACUGACUUUUUCUCCUUUUUCUUCAUGUUUUUGUUGAAUGUGUGAGUAUCACAAAGCUUGAAAAACGCACGGAGUCCAUAACUGAGGUAGCGCACCAGCCCUCUUUUGAAUUUGUGAAGAGUAAGGCAGGAGGAGAGCGCAUCCAAUAAAUGCUUAGAAUCUGGAACUGAGAUAUUCCGCCUGGUUGGGGGACUUUUGGGUUCUGGAUACUGAUAUAUGGCAAUGGUCUGAAUUAACUAGCUUUGGUGACUUGCCUUCAUCGAGGGAUUUCAUUGCAGCUUCAGCAAUUGGAAACCGAAAAA